rnacentral:rRNA from 1 species
GUGCCGGUGAAUGGAUGGAAGGAGAGAACUCUCUCCUAUGGAGGAAAGGAGGCCUUGUUGAAAGCGGUGACCCAAGCCAUUCCAACAUAUGCGAUGAGUGUAAAAUUCCCAAAGAAAAUUUGCAAUGGGAUCACAGAUGCAAUGUUGCAAUAUUGAUGGGGAGACGAGGAGAACCAACGAAUGAUGUGUUGGUUUGCUUGGUGAAAGAUGUGUGUUCCUAAAGAGAGAGGAGGCAUAGGUUUUAAUAUUCAUAGUUUCAAUUUGGCAAUGUUGGCCAAACAAUGUUGGAGAUUGAUUGAUAAUUAUGGGUCCCUUUGUGCUCGUGUGUUAUAUAAAACUGUGAGCGGAAGAUGGGUUCCUCUUAUGUAUGGCAAAGUAUCUGGGCUGGCAUUCAAACAUUCAAAAUAG